GAUGAACGCUGGCGGCGUGCCUAAUACAUGCAAGUCGAGCGAACAGACGAGGAGCUUGCUCCUCUGACGUUAGCGGCUGACGGGUGAGUAACACGUGGAUAACCUACCUAUAAUACUGGGAUAACUUCGGGAAACCGGAGCUAAUACCGGAUAAUAUAUUGAACCGCAUGGUUCAAUAGUGAAAGACGGUUUUGCUGUCACUUAUAGAUGAAUCCGCGCCGCAUUAGCUAGUUGGUAAGGUAACGGCUUACCAAGGCAACGAUGCGUAGCCGACCUGAGAGGGUGAUCGGCCACACUGGAACUGAGACACGGUCCAGACUCCUACGGGAGGCAGCAGUAGGGAAUCUUCCGCAAUGGGCGAAAGCCUGACGGAGCAACGCCGCGUGAGUGAUGAAGGUCUUCGGAUCGUAAAACUCUGUUAUUAGGGAAGAAAAACUGUGUAAGUAAAUAUGCACGUCUUGACGGUACCUAAUCAGAAAGCAACGGCUAACUACGUG
rnacentral:rRNA from 1 species